rnacentral:rRNA from 1 species
GACGUAGGGCGCGAGCGUGUCCGGAUUUAUUGGGCGUAAAGAGCUCGUAGGCGGCUCGUUGCGUCGGCUGUGAAAACCCACAGCUCAACUGUGGGCUUCAUUCGAUACGGGCAGGCUAGAGUUGGUAGGGGAGACUGGAAUUCCUGGUGUAGCGGUGAAAUGCGCAGAUAUCAGGGAGGGAACACCGGUGGGCGAAGGCGGGUCUCUGGGCCGAUACUGACGUGGAGGAGCG